rnacentral:rRNA from 1 species
CCUGUACUUGGUGUUACUGCGAAGGGGGGACGGAGAAGGCUAUGUUGGCCGGGCGACGGUUGUCCCGGUUUAAGCGUGUAGGCUGGUUUUCCAGGCAAAUCCGGAAAAUCAAGGCUGAGGCGUGAUGACGAGGCACUACGGUGCUGAAGCAACAAAUGCCCUGCUUCCAGGAAAAGCCUCUAAGCAUCAGGUAACAUCAAAUCGUACCCCAAACCGACACAGGUGGUCAGGUAGAGAAUACCAAGGCGCUUGAGAGAACUCGGGUGAAGGAACUAGGCAAAAUGGUGCCGUAACUUCGGGAGAAGGCACGCUGAUAUGUAGGUGAAGUCCCUUGCGGAUGGAGCUGAAAUCAGUCGAAGAUACCAGCUGGCUGCAACUGUUUAUUAAAAACACAGCACUGUGCAAACACGAAAGUGGACGUAUACGGUGUGACGCCUGCCCGGUGCCGGAAGGUUAAUUGAUGGGGUCAGCGCAAGCGAAGCUCUUGAUCGAAGCCCCGGUAAACGGCGGCCGUAACUAUAACGGUCCUAAGGUAGCGAAAUUCCUUGUCGGGUAAGUUCCGACCUGCACGAAUGGCGUAAUGAUGGCCAGGCUGUCUCCACCCGAGACUCAGUGAAAUUGAACUCGCUGUGAAGAUGCAGUGUACCCGCGGCAAGACGGAAAGACCCCGUGAACCUUUACUAUAGCUUGACACUGAACAUUGAGCCUUGAUGUGUAGGAUAGGUGGGAGGCUUUGAAGUGUGGACGCCAGUCUGCAUGGAGCCGGCCUUGAAAUACCACCCUUUAAUGUUUGAUGUUCUAACGUGGACCCGUGAUCCGGGUUGCGGACAGUGUCUGGUGGGUAGUUUGACUGGGGCGGUCUCCUCCUAAAGAGUAACGGAGGAGCACGAAGGUUGGCUAAUCCUGGUCGGACAUCAGGAGGUUAGUGCAAUGGCAUAAGCCAGCUUGACUGCGAGCGUGACGGCGCGAGCAGGUGCGAAAGCAGGUCAUAGUGAUCCGGUGGUUCUGAAUGGAAGGGCCAUCGCUCAACGGAUAAAAGGUACUCCGGGGAUAACAGGCUGAUACCGCCCAAGAGUUCAUAUCGACGGCGGUGUUUGGCACCUCGAUGUCGGCUCAUCACAUCCUGGGGCUGAAGUAGGUCCCAAGGGUAUGGCUGUUCGCCAUUUAAAGUGGUACGCGAGCUGGGUUUAGAACGUCGUGAGACAGUUCGGUCCCUAUCUGCCGUGGGCGCUGGAGAACUGAGGGGGGCUGCUCCUAGUACGAGAGGACCGGAGUGGACGCAUCACUGGUGUUCGGGUUGUCAUGCCAAUGGCACUGCCCGGUAGCUAAAUGCGGAAGAGAUAAGUGCUGAAAGCAUCUAAGCACGAAACUUGCCCCGAGAUGAGUUCUCCCUGACCCUUUAAGGGUCCUGAAGGAACGUUGAAGACGACGACGUUGAUAGGCCGGGUGUGUAAGCGCAGCGAUGCGUUGAGCUAACCGGUACUAAUGAACCGUGAGG